AUUUAGAAAUUAAAUUACAUCAUUUGUUAUUAAGCAUGAAACGAGUUCACGUAGAAAAAGAUUGUAAGUUUAAAUAUGGCAAUUAUAACAGGUAUUAUGGUUAUCGAAAUGAAAACACUGAUGUUGAUAAAAGAAUUUCUUUACUCCAAAAAGAUUGGUUUGAAGGCAAAUCAUGCUUGGAUAUUGGUUGUAAUGUAGGACAUAUUACUUUAUAUAUUGCAAAGUUUUUUGAGCCAAAACAAAUUAAAGGUGUUGAUAUUGAUUUUAACUUAAUUAAAGCUGCUCGUGCAAACAUACUUCAUUAUAUUGACAACAAAAACUCUGAAAGUCGGAAGGUUAAAAAAAGUAAUGAACCAAAUGAAUCUAAUCAAAAAAACAGUAAAAUUAAUCAAAUAGAAAAUGAAUCUUUAAUAAUUAAUGGUGAACAACUAAAUUGUUGCUGCUUUGAAAAAAAAGAUGAAAAAUUAUUACAAUUACAUGAAGAUGUUACAAAGUGCAAGCAUGAUAAAAAUAGUUCAUCCAACUGCAUUCACAAUGACAAUGGAAAUGUGCAAGCAGAACACCUAAAAAGAGAAAAGAAGUUUCCAUACAAUGUCACUUUCAUUACUGAAAACUUUGUACCAUCAUCUGAAAAUCUUUUAAAAUAUACAAAAGAAGAGUAUGACAUUAUUAUUUGUUUGAGCGUUACAAAAUGGGUGCAACUGAAUUCAGGAGAUGAAGGUUUGAAACUUAUGUUUCAUAAAAUAUUUAAACUACUUAAUCCUGGCGGCAAAUUGCUUUUGGAACCCCAACCAUACAAAUCAUAUAAACGAAGAAAAAUCUGUCGACUGAAAUUCGUAAUAAUUACGAUAAUAUUAAACUUAAACCGGAGGAUUAUAUUAAUUUCUUGAUGACUGAAGUUGGCUUUACAUCAUUUACACAACUUGACACACUCAAGCAUGACAAACAAGGUUUUGAAAGACCGGUAUAUCUCCUAACUAAAGCUUCGACAGUAUUGUAAAAGAGCUAUCGUAUGAAAGAUUAUAACAAAGAA
rnacentral:misc_RNA from 1 species